UACGUAGGGGGCAAGCGUUGUCCGGAUUUAUUGGGCGUAAAGAGCGUGUAGGCGGUUAGGUAGGUCCGUUGUGAAAACUCGAGGCUCAACCUCGAGACGCCGAUGGAAACCCCCUGGCUAGAGUCCGGAAGAGGAGAGUGGAAUUCCUGGUGUAGCGGUGAAAUGCGCAGAUAUCAGGAAGAACACCCGUGGCUAAGGCGGCUCUCUAGUACGGUACUGACGCUGAGACGCGAAAGCGUGGGGAGCGAACAGG
rnacentral:rRNA from 1 species